GGCUGGAUAGUUCAGUUGGUGUAGAGCACUGGUGUACGGUGUUCCAGAGGUCGCAGGUUCAAAUCCUGCUCCAGUCA